rnacentral:lncRNA from 1 species
GCUUCAAUCAACUCAUCUGACGAUCACAUCACAGAAGAAUUCUGCGUCUCGACUCUCCGACAGGACAAGCAGAGUGAUGAGGCAAAGGACCUUCGUGACCUGGCCCUUGUUGGUGUAGACAUCCUCAAGGGACAUAUCAUUGCCGCAAGUGGCAAAGUCAAACAACUUAUGCACAGUGUCAAGAAUGGCACAUCAACAGCACGCCGCCUCAGUUUGUGCGACCUGGACUAUGACGCCGCGGUGACCGUCCUCAAUGUUUGCAACACCAUGCUCAAGGACUACCGUGGUCCCAAAGGCGGUGAAAAGGAUGGACCCCUAUCCU